GACGAACGCUGGCGGCGUGCCUAAUACAUGCAAGUAGGACGCAGUUGCGAACGGGUGAGUAACGAGUAGGCAACUACCUAUGAGAGGGGGAUAACUAUUGGAAACGAUAGCUAAUACCGCAUACUAGUAGAUGGACCUGCGUUGUAUUAGGUAGUAGGUAGGGUAAUGGCCUACCUAGGCAACGAUACAUAGCCGACCUGAGGUGGUGAGUGGCCACACUGGGACUGAGACAAGGGCCAGACUCCUUCGGGAAGCAGGAGUAGGGAAUCUUCGGCAAUGGGGGGAACCCUGACCGAGCAACGGCGCGGGAGUGAAGAAGGUUUUCGGAUCGUAAAGCUCUGUUGUUAAGGGAGCGGUACUUAACCAGAAAGGGACGGCUAACUACGUGCCAGCAGCCGCGGUAAUAC
rnacentral:rRNA from 1 species